rnacentral:lncRNA from 1 species
AAAGAAUGAGGAAGUGGAGAAAGCAGCAGCGCUCUGCCUCUGCUUUCUCAGAAAACCUGAGGCCAAGGACCUCACUGCCCACAUUUUCUCAAUCAGAGCAAACCACUAAUAACCCAAAAAAGGAAAAAAAAAGUUUAAGGCCUUUCUGCUGAUUCUAAAAUCUUGGGUAUGGAAGUGAAGUUGGGACUAGAUAUAUUUAGAUGAGAAGAGGAAGAAGUGGCUUUUGAUUCUUUAUGAGAAACGUUUAGCGCCAGAGUGCAGAGAUGGUGGCACAGUAAGGCUGGAUACACCGUACAAUCGCAUUAGAAAGGUCCAACAAACUUAGCGUAUAUCAGUUUAACACGUCAAAAUCACUGAAAGCAUACAUUGUAUUAGGCUGCAUCCCUUUUUUCUUGAAUGUGUAGCCUCCAUCCUGUCGCCUUCAUCCUUUCGGCAGUGUGGCUAAUGCUUAAAAUUAUAUACUAUUAUACCAUUAGCGUGUAUUUAUAGAGAUAAUUUCAGAAACCUCGCCUGAGGUUUCCAGUAAUUUCACUUGACUCCCCUAAAGUUUCAAAAUUAUACUUAUCUCCCUUAUUCAUUUAAAAUGACGAUACUAACUUUAAUAUUUAAAUAAAACUCUGUUGUUGCCAUGCUUACACAAAUGAUGGAUUUUAUAAUUUUGUUUUCCUUUUUUUCUUAUUCAUUUCUCUUAUAUUUUAUUAAAAGUAUAGAAGAUUUAUCAAUGUUGUUCUUAAUAUCUAUCGAAAUCAAACGUUAAACUAGUAUUUUUUUUUAUAACUUUUAACAUCAUCCAUUUUUUUGUAACUCUUUUUUGUAUUAAAAUCAAGAAUAAAUCAACAAUAAUUAAAAACAAAUGGCCCAAAAUCACUAUCAAACUAUAUGGUAGUUCUAUCACUAAACUAGUCCAUAAACUUUUAUUUAAAAAAAGUAGUCCACAAACUUUAAAAAAAAAAAAACAACACUUUAUUCUCUAUUGUAAAAAGAAUCUAUACCCCCCAAUAAAGUUCCAUAAAAAAUAGCCUAUUAUAGUAAAAAAAUUAUUGUUAUAGUUGAUUAUUAAAUAACAAAUAUUCGUAUGAAGAACUCAACCCUCUUUGUUUUAUAAUUGCGCUAAAUUACUUUAUAAUUGUUUAGAAGAACAAAUUAAACUUUAUAAGAUAAGGGCAUUUUAGAAUGUUUAUUAAAUUUUUCACUCUAUUUUAAGAUUUGUUACCAAAAUGUCAAAUUAAGAGAGAUAAGUAUAAUUUCUAAAACAUCAAAAGAACUAAGUGAAAUAGCAAAGAACCUAAGGGGAUGCUUAUGAAAUUAUCCCAUAUUUAUAAUAUCUAUCUUUAAUGGACGAGGGAUGACGAGCUUCGGAGGUCAAUCUGUUAAAUUGGUUAGUGGUUUAUCGUUAGGUUACUAAAUUUGGAUACCCCAGUUGUUAAAGGGUUAAUUUCAAAAACCUCCCCUAAGGUUUAUCAUAAUAUUACCUAUCAUCCCUAAAGUUUGAAAAAUCUUAUAUAGCUCCGCUUGAAUGAUAAUAUGGGUGACAUUGUCACCCCUUAUGCCUAAAAGUAAUAUUAAACAAUGCAUUAGAGGAGAGAGAGAUUAUAUAUCUUUUCACUUUUACUCUUGUACAAUUUGAUUUAUGAAUUUUGAAAUAUGAAAAAAAAAGACAAAUAAAGUGAAAUAUUAAACUUAGAAUACGAGAAAUGGUACAUUUAAUAAGUAAUAAAUUUAAUCGUUUUAUAACUGGAUAAUACUAUUGAGUGCAAGAGUAACAUCAAAUGCUGCUUUAACAUUAUAGAAAUGCAAAAGCUCCAAUAGAUUGGUUGCAGAAAUUAAGAGCAAAGAUUUUGUAAUAAAGAGACACCAAAAUUUUGCCAUAAAUAGAGAAACUAGAAUGAAAAUUUUAGGAGAUCAGUCCUACAAUUUUAAAUGUACUGAUUUUUGGAUUGGUUGGGUGUGGCAAAGCAAUGAUGGAAGCCUUCUUGUCUUUCGUUCACAAUCCCGAACCUUCCUCUUUGUAUUUUAUUGUCUGGAGGCCAAGCCCUCAAUCGAGAUAAGCCCCGAACAAAUUUAUCAUUUUCGAUGCUCGCGCCCUUGCCAUGUGCCACAUCAUUGACACUUGGGACGUAAAUGCUUCUAAAUAUAUUUUUUUUGAGUUAUUUUUGUUGUUGGACAUACGUGUUUAUGUACUCCCUCCGUCCCGUUUUGUUAGUCUUGAUUUUUUUUUCACACAGAUUAAGAAAGUGUAAUUAAUUUGGUUGGAAACAUAAAUUUAAAUUAAUAAUUUCCUAAAAUACCCUUAUGCUAAUCACGAAAAGUGCCAAUUAAUAUCAGUUACAGCUAAUGGGUUAGUAUUGGAAAACUCAAUGUAUUCAAUGUAGUUGCUCGCAGAGUUUAUCUACGAAAAAAGAUUGAAAAGCACGAUAUGUGAAAAUAAUAUAUAUAUAUAUAUAUAUAUAUAUAUAUGUAUAUAGAAAUCCUUAAAAUCAAGAAGGUGGACCAUCAUUUAAUUCAUGCCUCACUUAGAAUAGAGCUUCUUGUACUUGCUAAGGAAAAAGUAAUGCAUUUUAUAAUUUUAUGGGCAAGUUUCAGUUUGUUGAGGAAAUUUGGUUAAUAAAUAGGACAAAACAAGUGAUACAAAUCUCUUAUUUUAGUCAAAACAAAUUUUAGAAAGAUAUGCGAUUCUUCCAUAUUAUCAUGUUUCUUUUGUUUCUUCAUGAACAUCUGGAUUUUCGGCCAAUAGAAUUCCGGACCAAAUCCUACUUUUCUAUCAAAGUGAUUUUAGAGAGGGCGACUUUUGGAAGGAGUAAGCUAAUGAGACAGUAUUCCUGCCAUUCUAGUUGAUUCACCAUACAUACAAAGAGCAAUGUUGUUAAAUUCAAAUCGGAUCAAAGGCCAAUUAGUCGGAUUGUCGGACUGUUCUUAAAAAUUUGCUGACAUCAGCAUGAUGUCAUAAUUAUUUUAUAUUUUUAUAAGUUUCAAAAAUAUUAAAAUUAAGUUCUUCAUUAUAUUCAGCCAAUCAUACAAAAUGUUCCAAAAUCAAAUAUAAGCCUAAUAAUUAUAUAUAUAAAUGUAAAUUGAUGGCUAAAAUAUGUCCAUUCUCCAAAACCAUUUGAAAAAUUAAAUUAAAACAAAUUAAUGCAAGUUGGAAUCACUUAUGCUAAAUUGAUAAGAUGAUAAGAAUAAUAAUAUCUUGAUUUAAAGAUUAAUCAAGAAAGCAAGUGAUUUUGGUAUUUACACUAAUUGGAUACCAUUUUCAUAUUUCUAUUAAUAAAUAAAAGUGUUACAAUUUAGCUAACUCAAAUUAUGUUUGGAGAAAAUAAAAAAGAAGAGCUUGAAAAUCAGGUCAACCAGUCGAACCGAAUCACUGGUUCAGCUAAUUUCUUACGAUUUUGACUUAUUUUUGACCAAAAUGAUUUUGUGUUACAAACCAGUUCGAAAAAGAAGGCCAGUUCACGGUCGAACCGGCCAGGCUGGUCCAAGUCUAACAACAGUGUACAAGGGUCUUCAUUUAGCUGUCUCAGCAAGUAAUAUAUUACAAUUACUGAUAUGUGUUUUUUGUCCCAUGUUUUAUCUUAUAAUCCAUCAAAAUAUUAUCCUGUUCUUGCAUGUAAUCUGUCUCCAUACAAAUCUGAUUUUUAAUACUAAUCCUACAUGCCCUACUUUGUCAGCAUUAACUAGUGGGUAAGCAUUCGCCUGAUACUCUUAAAACCACCUAAUUCUUUUUUUUUUCCAACAAACGUUGACAGAUUCAUAUAUAUAAACACUUGAUAGUACAAGGAUUAAUCAGAAAACCACCCAAUUCAAUACCCAACAUUGGCUGCUUCUAUAGUGCCAAAUUGACAUCAGAUUAAAUGAUACUCAACUUUGACUCAACAAAAAAAGAAAUAAAUAAAACCUUUACAGGGUUUCUUAUAAUGCAGUAAUUCAAUAUGGACUGAAAUGAGAGAUCUUUAUUUACAAGAAAAAUGAAUUGAAAAAGAAAAGAGAGAGAAAGAAAGAAGAGAAGAGCUUGAAAUAGUUAAGUACACCAUCCCUUUUAGGUCCUUAGUUAUAUUUUCAACCAGUUUUCAGUAAUACGCCAGAGAAACUAUGUCAGAUGCGUUUGCUGCAUGUUUCGUGAAAAUGGUCGAGCUAGCUAGCAUUUGCACCAAAGAAAAAAAAAAGUUGGAAGAAGGUGGAAAAUCGUCAAUAAUUAAUGGAAUUCUAUGCAGAUUCGACGGCUUCCACAAGUUGCUUCCAUGGCCAUGGGCAAGAAUCUGAAAAGACAGAAUAAAAAUACAGCCAAAACCCCACGUGCAUGUGUAGGGAAGAUGAUCUCCUUUUGUUUCCCUUGCAGAUAAACUUGAUGUUGGAAAAGCAAAGCAUAUGAAUGUGGCGGCCACAAAAGCUCACCUUAAGUAAGUAAGUUGUAGUGCAAAAGUAUCAUUAAUAUUUUCAGUAUUUUAAGGAAAUGAAAACAAGAGUUUUCUGAUUUUUCUUUUUUGGGCAUUUGAACAAAUUAAGUGCAAAAUUACUGGUGAGCAAAAGUUAGAUGGCAUAGAAGUAAUCUAAUUUAGUAUUGAAAAAAAAAUCAGGACGCCUGCUGAAGUUUAUUAAUUUUAUUCUUCUCAAUAACAGCCAUAAAUUCAUUCUAGAAAAAAAAAACUAAUUUUCGUGAAUAUUAGGAGUUAACUUCAAAGGUUCUUGAACAAUACAAGAUAAAAUCACGACCAUAGUUUAAUAGGCGAGGGUAGUGAUGAAAGGAAUCCAAUAGGCCGGCCAAAGUAGACCGCACUUUUGCUAAAAAAAAAAAAUUUUGUUUUGGGUGACUUAGCGCUUAAACCCAUGCAUUUAGGUAUUCUCAAGUAAUAAAUAUUUAACCACUGGCGUCGGCCAGUCUUUCCCGCUGUCAAGUUCAAAGUUUGAAUACUGUACUUGAUUGUUGUGGGAGGUGGGAGAGUAAAAAGAAAAAAUUGAUAAAUACUCUGUAAAAUUUAAGAGAAUGCCAAAUAUUGAGCAAGAAAAUACAUUAACAAAUAAGGGUUAUGCUUUGAAGUGCUAGUUAAUAAAACUAACAAGGUCUCAGUUAACGGUUUUUAACUCGAAGAAUUAGCAGAAUUUUAUCUUCUAAUUUCUCUUUUGAAUGUUCAAGUUGGCUGUAAAUAAUUAUCAAUUACAAUUUGUCAGUUCAAGAUGGUCCCUAUUCCCCUGCUUAAGUACUUCAACGUUCUAAUUGUGGCUUACCUGUUCUACAACAAAACAAUAGCAAAAAAAAGCAAAGACUCAGCCCAAAGACCAAAAAAAAAAAAAAACUAUUUUGUCAACUAUCGUCCAAGCUUGAGGCAGCAGUACUACUACUGGCCGAAGAAAUGCUGCUGGAUUGAGAUAAUUCGGCAUACUUGUUGGUACAGAACUAUUCUUGAUGACUACAGAAUUCUGACUUGAAUCUUCCUGCAACAAAACUAUAGCACAUUUGUUCCAUACUUUUUGGCUUCUUCUAAAAAUUUGGGAUGCUACUGCUUUGAAUUGAGGUUUCUUGACAAGUAGAACGCGACAGUUCCUUCCCAGUAGCUCUCUAGAAUUCUGCAGCGUGGCUAGUUUGCCAUAUAUUCAUGUGAAUUAAUUCAUUGUCCCAAAUAGCUUUUGCUAGAUCACAUUUGUUGUAUGUGGAGUUAAUUCUUGAUUUUGUCUUGCGAGCUCAAAGUGCAAGUUCAGGAACGAUGGAUGAUGUUGCUCAAAAGAGUUAAAAGCAAAUAUGGAAUUAAUAGAUCUGUGAAGCUUUCCCAUGCGCCAACUUUAGUUAAAAAUUGCCUGUAAUUUUUCCAUUUGUCAACUGCUAAAUUACUUCAAUCCUAUUAAUAUAAUAAUAGUAAUAAGAUGCAGGUAGGAAAGGACAUAUUAAUUCGCCUGCACGCAAUUCUUGGUGUUGUUAAUAAUAUAAUACUACUUAGUACUCUAUAUUAUCUACCAGAAAACAUUAACAAUUUUGAAUGUAUUUAUAGCCAAAACGACUCAUAAAAUUACUGAAAAUGAAAGCAUGCAGCGAAUAUCUGGCAUUAAUUUUUGAGAACCAUAACUGCUUUAUUUGUUCGUUGAGUGGUCAUUUGCAAUGCACGUGGUGUUAAUUAUAAAACCUGAGAAACAAGAUUAUUGACAUUUAUGAGUAUUUAUUGAGAGCCUCAGUCAGUUUUCCUAUUCUACAUACAAAUGCAAGAACCCAUAUUGGUGGAUUUUUUUUUUAUUGAGAACCUCAUCUAUUUUUCAAUACAUUCUACGAAUGCAAGAGCCCAUCAUGGUGAGAUCAAUACAGAUAAAUAAUCAACUAAUUAUACUCUAAUAAACCACGAAUAUAAUGGAAUGAAAACUUUAGUCGCUGAACCAAGAUUUUUAGAACUUGUUUGGAUUGUUGGAGUUUUUAUUCAAAAUACAUAUAUGUUAUAAUUAUUUAAUAUAUGUGAGAUAAAAAAAAUAACUGAAAAAUAUGUCAAAGGAAUUUUCUCCGGAUAAACAAAAAUUGGAUACUAAGCAAAGUAGCAAUUACUCAAUAGUAAAUGUGUUCAAUUUGAGAAAUAAAUAUACAUACACACACAGCAGUAGGUAGGUCUCCCGGUGGCAUCGCUGGAAAGGCUGAGUUAGGGAAUCGGGUAACAGUAGCAGUCUUUUGUUUUAAUGCUCGUGCGCUGUUAAAGCUUUCGCUGAGUUAUGUUCGAGUCAGUGACUGAGACAGCAACGAUAAAAGUGGGGGACACUGGACAGUGGCAGUUCCGUAAUUAACUGGCCAUCCCAGGGGUGAAUUGAGUCGGUCAUUCCUAGGCCUUGGAUAGCCUUUUUGUUUGUGAGUAGAUUGAUAUGGCUGUAGAAAACUACAAAUACACACUCUUGUAUCGUACUAGUGCAAAAAAAGUAGAUAGAUACAUAUACAUAUAUAGAUAUAUAUAUAUAUAUAUAUAGAGAGAGAGAGAGAGAGAGAGAGAAAGGAAUGUGUAGUAACGUAAGGAUGUGGUGGCCGGUGGGGCACUCAGGCAGCGCCAAAGGCGCAGGCCACCCGAUACUAUCGACUUUUUCUCUGCAGUUUUUGCAGGGCAUUUUAUUCCACUCUCCCUUUGCAUGCGUGGGAUAAUACUCUUACUUUUUUGUACUUUUAUUGGAGUUUUGUUGCUUACACAGCCUUUUAAAUUAAAAAAGGAAUAAUAUGACCCCAAAAAAAAAACCCUCUUGAGUUCGACAAAAUUAGUUACUGUCGAAAAGACCCAUCUAUCAAGAUUGAUGGGGUUAUGGAUAGAGUUGAGUGGGAAAGACGAAUGAAUCAUUUAUAGGUGUAGAUUAUUGAAAAGUUAAGGAAUAAUUUGAGGACAGGAAUUUUAAACAAUGAGAGUUUUUGAAAUGGAAUAUUAACACGGAAGUACUUAGAAAUCGCAAAAGUGUUAUGUCUUGUAUAUAAAAAAUUGCAAAGUAAGAAAACCAAUUAGCUAGAGGACAUGUAAGCUAAAUGAUGAUGAUAGACAAUAAAUUUCAAAUAAUAGUGUUAUGUACGAUAAUCUCUUAAAUUUAGAAACCAAUAUUGCUAAUGGUAAUAAAAUGUAUGAUAAUACGACCUGCUAGAAAUGUUACUUUUAUGAAGUUUUAUUGUAUAGGAGAUAAAAAUGAUUUUUAUAGUUAAUGUAUAGAAGAUCUAAAACAAUAAAAGAAUUUAUUUAAUAAAAUAUUGGUCUUUCUAAAAUCUAUAAAAAUAAAAAAAAGUUGAAGUAUUUCUUCUUUUUUUUUCUUAAAAAAUAUGCAUGCCUCGCCCUACUAUGGAUGAACAAUUGAACUCCCAAAUAAAAAUUAUUGCUAGUUCAUAACGUAUUUCCAUAGUUGAGGAGUACUUUUGAUCUGAUCCUAAUCAUUAGGAUUUCCUUUUUCUUUUAAUCAUGGCAAAAAAGGGAAAAAAGUGAAUGAUUGCAAUCUCUCACACUGUUGGUUUUUUCUUUUUUUUGCCAUCCAACGGUACAAGCUAAAAUGCAGAAGAUUGUAAAACGUUAUAUUAAUAAUAAUAUUGUAAUAAGGACUUCUGUAAUAUCCAUUCGAUAGAUAUUAAUUAUGUGUAUAUAUAUAUCAUAAUUAUAUAUAAUUUACUUUGCGAAUGCACACAUUCACACCUAAUGUAUUCUCGUAUUUUAUCACUUUUUUUGACAUUAAAUUCACUUUUAAAAGAAAACUAACGCUUGAAAUCCCUCAUCUUAACAAGUACUCACGCAGCUGCCGAAGUCAAGCUCCCAAGGUAAAAGGCAAAACCAAAAUGAGACGAAUAACUAGCGUACGGUCUAUUUAUCAUCCUCAAGAAUAUAGAAUAUGAAAUAUGGGAAGAAAGUAGACGCGCAGCGCGGGGGGUAAAAGGAUGGAAGGGUGGACAUUGACAGUAACAAGACAGAGAGCAGACAGGGUGAUGAGACUGGAGAGAUAGUCUUGAUAGAUCAUAGUAGAUGAUAGCAGCAGCUGCAGCAGCAGCAGUAGUACCAAGAGAGCGGACUCACUCACUCACUCACUCACUCAGGAUUCUUGACUGCGUCUGCCAUGCCGUGCUUGGGCAUGCAGCAGCAUGGCCUCUCUCAGUCACUGAGUCCUAAACUACAAACACCUUCCCCAACCCCCUCCCCACCCACCCACCAUAGCAGUAUAGUUGCAGCCAAAGUUUAGGGGGUCCAUUUACAUUGACAACUCCUCCAUCUGUCUCUCUCUCUCUCUCUCUCUCUCUCGAGGUCUAUAACUAACUGUAUUCAUAUUUAUUUCUUAUAAUAUAUUUAAUGUAUCUCUGUACCCUUUGCCUGAUUUGAUAUGAUUUCUCAUGCCCGUUACUGAUUCCAUUAUAACUGUACAUACCCCAUAUAUGUAUAUAUGGUAGUAAUAGAUAGUCUUCCUGCCAAGGACCAACUAUAUUGAAUCAUUGACCACAACUUUUAUCAAAAAAUGGUUAGCUAAAUUUAUCCGUUUGGGUAAGGUUGGACGAUACAGUAAAAAGAAUCAUAAGUAAGAGGUUCUACAAAAGAAGACUAACAACAAUUGUUGGAGGGAGUGAUUAAGAUAAACUCACUAAACUUUUCAAUCAUGAAAUUGGAUGCUGUAAAAUUGUGUAUUCCUAUUCACAUUGAGUGGGAGUGUUUAAUGGCUCCAAAUGUCAACUUUUUAUGUCUCUCAUCCCACUGAGUUAUAGGUAGCAGUAGACCACUCAGAAAUUACUAUGCACAAAUUAAGAUGGUUAAGAUUCGCAAAAUGAGUUGUAGAACAUCUUCUCUCUUCUUGAAAGGGAGGAAAAAAAAAGCCAAAAUCUGGUCUAGGCACAGGAAUUGCAUGAAUUAAAUUUCCAGAAACAAUUGAGCUGUGCUACAAUUGCCAUGGUAGCUGAAUGAAAAUGUGCCAACUAACAAAUUUUUUUUUUAUUUUGGACUGAAAAAAAAAGCUGUAUUUUUUGUUUGAAUGCAAUUGGCAAAUGCCCUUUUUGUUCUUUUGGAAGGAAAAUGAAUUCUUGGUGUUAGUGGAUGGAUUGCCUCACUCCCACAGUAAAAAAUCACCUACUGGCUACUAUUUCAAAUUUUUACGAAGAAAAAUAAAGCUAAGGCAAAGCAAAGGUGAAGGCUUGAGGGGGAUGGGCUGCGGGAGGCGAAGCGGGAUGAGUGAGUGAGGAGGGAGUGUGUGUGUGUGGGUUCUGUACUGUCUAAUGCCUGUCCCCCCCACUCAACACAGUCUCUUUCCCUCUCUGUAGUCGAAAAGGGCACUAUCACAUUGGCCUUUUUUGCCUUUUGUUUUCUGUGCUUCCUAAGCAUUUGUCUAUGUCUCCUACUUCUGCUUGCUUCCCCUUCUCAGAACUACUGCAAAUGGGGGAGGAAUCAUACUUUGAAUUUCUUGUUAUUAUUUGAUACUACUUGUACCCUUUUUUUCUAAUCUAUCUUCUCAAUCUUUUAGCUACCCUCUUCCACCCAAGACUCCUUCUUCUCCCUCUUUGCCAAAAACAUGAAUUGAAUGAAUUUCUUUCCCGUUCUUGCUUUAAAGCCACCUACUUUAAAUAUUGGGAAAUUCUUGCCAUGAUUUGACUUCAUUUCCUUUUUUUUAAUAACAAAAAGCUUUUAGCUUUGUGGAUACUCUUUCAAGAACAAACUUGAUUGCUCUCAAACCCGCAACUUUAAUUGUCUUGCUUUUCUUUUUCUUUUUCCUUUUAUAUUUUCUUUGUUGAGGGUUAGUUUUGGCCCUUUUGGUUUCUUGUCCAGGUGUAAUGCGAUACUGAGAACAAACAAGGCACCGCUUGAGGCCUUUAAUGGAAAUUGAUCUGAACCAUGCAAUAGUAGAGAGUAGUGAGGUGGAGAAGAAUGCUAAUGCAUGCAGCUGUAACGGGGAAUGUGACAAAGGUGGUUGUGGCUUUGGCUGUGUUUAUUGCUCUUUGUCCACUUCCACCUCUUCGUGCUCUUCUAAUGCUUCCUCCUCUAAUCCUCCUCCUCCGUCAAAAAUCUUCAUGGAGCUCUGGUAUGCCUGUGCUGGCCCUGUCACUAGCUUGCCCAAGAAAGGAAAUGUGGUGGUCUACUUCCCUCAAGGUCACUUGGAACAGGCUGCUUCUGUCUCUUCUUUUCCUGCUUUGGAAGUUCCUUCUUUUGAUCUCCAACCACAGAUCUUUUGCAAGGUUUUAGAGGUCGAGCUACUUGUAAGUAAUCGGCUUCUGUCCUUUUUCUUGAAUGAAUCCCCUGUACUUUCUAAUGAAAAUCCCCUCAACUUAAGGCCAUUUCUGUUACUUUUAUCUUAUUGUUAUCUUUUCAUUCCUUUUCUUGUUUGAUAGAAAAUUUGGUUUUCUAAAUCUCCUGAUGUAGGCUAAUAAGGAGAAUGACGAGGUCUACACACAGCUGACUCUGCUCCCUAUAUCAGAGGUAUUACUCGGAUUCAGUACAUAGCUAUAUUGGUGUAAAGUUUUAAUUAUAACUAAUCCUAAAUGAAUAGUGGGACAAAAAAAUUUUGGUCUUGAAUUUCAUUUGCUGCAAUGUUUUCUCCUUUUUUUUGUUGGUGAUAUUUCAGUUACUUCUUUUCAUAUCCUUUCAGGUGCUAGCCUUGCGUUCAGGGGGAAAAGACCAUGAAGAGGCGGGGACCGAAGAAGAGAGGACUGAAGCAGUGCCAAUAAAAUCAACCUCUCAUAUGUUCUGCAAAACUCUUACUGCCUCUGAUACCAGCACCCAUGGUGGAUUUUCUGUUCCUCGAAGAGCUGCCGAAGACUGUUUCCCACCUUUGGUCUGACUGAAUUUUAGCUUUUAUAGCAUUUACUCUCUUUCAACGUUUUUAAUUUUCAUUAGCCGGCUGAAUGUUUCUGUUAAAUGUUGGAGCCACAAUUUCUAUGCCAGAAUUAUGAAGAGCCGCGGCCCUCUCAGGAACUUGUUGCUAGGGACAUACAUGGUGUGGAAUGGAGAUUUCGGCAUAUAUAUAGAGGUACAAUUACUGGUUAAAGUACUCAUGUGGCCUGAGAGAUUCUUAUUUAGUAAUAUUAGUUUGAAGAUGUAAUGCUUACUUUACAGGCCAGCCGAGGCGGCAUUUGCUUACAACUGGUUGGAGCAUUUUUGUAAGCCAAAAGAAUCUUGUUUCCGGUGAUGCAGUUCUCUUUCUCAGGUACAUAUUAUAUUGGUUGAUAUUGAAUAGAGAAUGGCUUAUAAGUAAAGAUAAAAGAAAGAAGAAAUUCAAUGGAAGUUGGAAUCAUCUUGGAAGCAUGCCAAGAGAAGAUGAAAGAAAGCAAGGGAAAAGCACUACUAAGUUCUUUGAAAUAGUAAGAAUUGCGGAAAGUGCUAAAAAAAUAAAGGAAUUGUGGAAAACAAGCUUGAAGUAGAUUUAGUCGAACCAGGAAAAAUAUACAGCUGAAAAUUGUGAAAAAGUUAAACACAUAAAGCAAUGGCAUAGAUUUACGCACUUAAUUUGUCAAAAGUCUUGGAAUAUACAUUUCUUUUUCUGAUUUCAAUUUUUAAGAGAUCUAAAGUUAUAUCGUGGGUGGUAGCCUGGACGUCCUUAAUUUUUUUAUACACUUCCAAGAGAAGAUGACUGGGGGAAAGCACUACUAAGUUCUUUGAAGUUGUAAGCACUGUGUUUUUUCUGGAAAACGAGCAUGCAGUAGAUUUAGUCAAACCAAAGAAAAUAUACAGUCUGAAAUUCUGCAAAAAUAAACAUGUUGAGCAAUGGCGUAUAGGCUAUAUACUUCCUUUGUCUAAUCGUCUUGGAAUGUGCAUUUCUUCCUCUCAUUCGAAUCUUUUAGUAUCACGAAAGUAUAUUUUGGCUGGUAACAUGGAUGUCCUUAACUUUCGUAUGUGUUCAGGGGUGAAGGCGGGGACCUGAGGUUAGGAAUAAGAAGAGCUGCUGGACUUCGAAAUGGCCUCUCUGAGUUAGUUAUUAAAAGCCAGAAUGCUUAUCCCAGAGUUCUUGCGCCAGUUGCAAAUGCUGUCUCAAGCAAUACUGCUUUCAAGAUUUUCUACAGCACAAGGUACUUAUAAGCUGAUCAUUUUAACAUUUUUGAAGGAUUUGGUUUGGCCUUUUACUUGACUGAAGAACAAGUAUUCUUUCAAGCUUUAUGGCUCAUCAUCUUUGUUUCUUAUUGCUUUUUCCUUGCAGUCCUGAACUCUCCCAUAUCUACAAUGCCUUUUGAGUUUUGGUGGUUAAUGACUUGUCUUCCCUUAAGCAGGGUCUGAUUGUUUAUGUUGAUGGCUUUAUGUUAUUGCCUUUGCAUGUAUCAUCUACCUAUUGUUCUGAUUAUGGUAAGGGUGAUGUUUAAAAGUGUGGUUGAAGCGAUUCUUUUAUAAUGUUUAAAUGUCAUUAAUUUGUGAAAUUCAAGAAGAUAGGAGCUACCCCAAUUUUGACUGAUAUUGGCAUUGGAUGAAUUGGUAAGUGAAAUCUUCCUCCCAAUUUCCAAACCCAUUGCCAUUAUCAUACUGUCAGAUUGACAAUAGAUGCAUGAAUAACCUCCACUUUAGCUUCCCUGCUGAGACUACAUUGUAAUGUCUCAGUCAAACUGAUUCUGCGUUCAGAGACUUUUGAGUAUGCCAAGUAACAUUGCCUUGAGUCAAGAUCUUAUCUAUUAAUACUGGAAAUUUUAUAAAGUAAAUUCUUUUUCCAUUAGUAUCCAAGGAGGUGUUUGGAAAUUAAGGAUUGCAUGUCGUCAAAAGGCCUUUUAUGGUCAUUUUCCUUGUUUGGUCAUGCAGAUGAUAUAUGGAAUUGAAGCCUUAAUCAAUUUUUCACCUCAUAUUAGAGGUUAUAAAAGUUUUUAGGCCUUCGUAUGUUUAGUUGUUGUUCGCCACUUCUCAAUUAUGUCUAGAUUAUCAACACAUUCCAUGUUUUGUCUGGUCUAUUUCUGCAACUUGUAUGGUAAUCCCGAAACUUGUACCACUAGCCCUAUUCUGAGCCAGUCCGUUAUCAGAUUUGGCUGUGCUUAAGACAGCAAACGAAGGCAGUCUACUGUUGUGACAUCUGCUAGACCCAUAGACGAGACUCUGUAUGAUUUUAAGGUCGUUGGAAGGAAUAUUAUGUCCCAAUGAGAUGCAUGAUUGUUUUCUUAUUUCAGACCAUUUUGUUUGGAUUCACCCUUCCCUUCUCUAUCUUGCACCCGGAAAUGAUUGGGUCCACUUUCAUCUUGUCUCAAUCUUCUUGAUAAGAAAAGCAAUGAUAUCUAAAUAUUCAUUUUCAUCAAUCUGCAUCUGGAAAUUAUUGAAUGCUGCAAAUAUUAGGCAUGCUAGUUUAAUGUGAUUCUCUUUGAUAUAUUUCAUAGUUACUACCCUCAAAUAACAAAAUUUCAUUGCAAUGACUUAGAAACCAUGUUCUCAUGUCUAUCGUUCUUAGAAUUUUCUGGUGCAUACUUCCUUUCCACUGUGCUCACUGGACCUAGAUUCAUGUUAACGGCUAUUGCAUUUUAAGUUUGUACUAGUUGCAAUUUUCAAGUUUUCUUUUACCCUUUUAAGAAUUUUCGACUUCAAAAUAAAUCUUCAUGUGUGACAACAUGUCGAGUUAUUUCUUACUUGGCUGCAUUGUCCUAUAAAAGUUAGUGGUUAAAGAACAAACUUUUCAAAUUUGAAUACCAAUGCUGAAUUAUGUGUAGAGGUAUGGGAUUUGUUACAGUUUGUUGCAUUAGUCAAUGGAAAACCUUCAUAAAUGUUCCCCAAUUAUUGCAUUGCAGAGCAAGUCAUGCUGAUUUUAUUGUACCAUAUCAAAAGUACGUGAAAAGCAUCAAUAACCAGAUACCUGUUGGGACAAGAUUCAAAAUCAGCAUUGAUUUGGACAAUGCUCCUGAUAGAAGGUUUUCUAUAUGUCUAACAAUCUAUGGUCAUAUUAAUUAGUUUUUACAAAAAUAAUUCCUCGUGAAACAAAUUUACUUAUUCUUAUAGGUACAGUGGUGUAGUGACUGGAGUUGGUGAUGUUGAUCCCCACAGAUGGCCAAACUCAAAGUGGAGAUGCUUAAUGGUAAGGAAAUUCUGAUUUUCUUUAUACAUGAGCAGGCUCCUGUAUCGGAUUCGAUCUUUUGUUUGUGGUUUCUCAAGUCCUAAAUGGCUGGGUGCAAUCGACAUUCUACGCCGCUUGAAUGCAUUUACGCCCAUUAUCUUGUGUAUUUUCACUACUCACAGUUUUAUUCCGAGAGCCACCAUUUGGUAGUUUUACAGACCAUGUAAUUUAUGCGGUGAUGCAAGACAAUUGGUCAUGAUUACAAUAAAGUCACAUUUUCUCAGUCAGUAGUAAGAUUUUUUGAUGCUGAGAAGAAUAAAUAUAUAUUAGUGAGAUGGAAAUUGACUAUUAAAAGUUCAUUUUGGUCCUUGUCAUCUUUCUAUAACAGCUGCCUAUUCUACACAUCUAAUAGGUCAGGUGGGAAGAAGAUGCUAGCAACCGUCAUGAAAGAGUUUCUCCCUGGGAAAUUGAUUUUUCAGCUUCUUUUGCAAACAUGAGCAUCCAGACUUCUCCCAGAAUGAAGAAACUGCGCACCUGCAUGCAAGCAGAUGUGCAGAACAGCUCUAGAAAUGGUGCUGAUCUUCUAUCACCGAUGCCAUAUACCAACAACGUUAGCGGGGCUAACAAAGCUGUUAUGACACCGCCUGUAUGGAAUGGUUAUAUUCCUGGUACAGACUUUCCCUAUUUGAACACACUGCAUUCUAUUGCAAUAGUGAAGCUUAGAUGUCGAGUCUUUUGAUUCUGGUUUCUUGUAUUUAGCAGGUCAGGUUCCCCUUUGGGACUUUGCGGAGUCUGCACGAUCCGGUAAGGUCUUGCAAGGUCAAGAAAAUUUAGGUUUAGCUUCACCUCUUUAUGGCGGUGAUAAGAUAAACCGCCAGUUGGAUUUUGAGAUGCAUCCUGUUGCACAUCAACAAUUUGUGUCAAAUGGGAUGGAGAAGGCAAACUACAGUGAUUUUAGCAGAAGUCAGCCUUCCAUCACCUACUCAGGCUCUAUGGAAACAAAUAGCUUUCCAAAGGUCUUGCAAGGUCAAGAAAUUUGCUCACUUAAAUCUCUAACUGGAAAAACUGAACUCAAUCCUAGCGGUUGGAGAAAACCUGAGCUGGGCGGCAACAUUUUGAACAUAAAUCAAAGAUCCUUUCCCAGUUGUUAUCCUUUAGCAUCUGAAGGCAUUAGAAACGUGGUUUUCCCGUACAAUGGGGUCUAUAAAGCUGGUCAAGAUCCUGUCAUGCUUUCCUAUAUGGCCAAUCGUGAGAGAGAAAACCAUGUGCUAAACUCAAAGUCCUUCAGGGAUGGGCCAACUAAGGAGGAUGGAAGACAUCUCUCUCUAGCAAAUGAGCCAAAGGCAUUCGAGAAGAAGUCUAUUGUCCCCACUACAGGAACACCCUUGAACAAUAAAAAAGACGAGAACAAGGGAGCUGGAUCUGUUUGUAAGCUAUUUGGGGUUUCCCUGACUGAAGAAGCCCCUGCAUCAAGUUCACAGAGUUCUAGCAGGAGAAGUUGUACAAAGGUUAGUUGAAUAACUGUGAGUAAACUGUCCAGAAAAAAGAGAGACUGCAUACCCAGUAUGUAUGUAUGUGUCUAUACACACACAUUGAUGCAAUCAUGUUAAUAUUCAUUUUAUUGGUCAAAGGUUCACAAACAAGGCAAUUUGGUGGGAAGAGCUAUUGAUCUGUCCAAACUGAAAAGUUAUGAUGACCUGCUGGUUGAGCUCGAGAAGCUGUUUAGCAUGGAGGGAAUGUUAAGGGAGCCUGGCAAGGGAUGGCGUGUCCUGUAUACUGACAGUGAGAAAGACAUGAUGGUUGUGGGAGAUGAUCCGUGGCCGUAAGUAUCCUUUUCACAGACAUCAAAUUGUCUAUUAAAUAUCCAUGUUUGGCAUAAAGUGGAAAGCGGCAAAUAAAUUACAAUCCAAUGAUAAUUGACAGCUUAAGCCGCUUUACUUGGUGAUGUAUAGUUACUGUUUCUUUCAUGUAAGAUUGCUGUGAUCCAAGUUGUCUAAACUUUAUUUUUUGACCAUUUUCAGUUGUGGUAGCAUUUCUUCAUGGCGAAAGUCAACAAGUUUUUGAGCUUUUCUACAGGACUGUUUUACUUUUUGACCAUUUUUCAGUUGUGGUAGCAUUUCUUCAUGGCGAAAGUCAACAAGUUUUUGAGCUUUUCUACCGGACUGUUUUGCAUUUUGGGUUUUUCUUUCAGAAUCACCGAAAUAAUCAGUGUCUCUUUUCACUUUCAGUGAGUUUUGUGACGUCGUGUCAAAGAUCCACAUAUUAACCAUAGAAGAAGUGCAGAAAAUGUCCAUUGGAGUGCUCAGUGAUGAGACUCGUAGUUGUUUGGAAGAAUCACCAGCAGUAAUGGAUGGCUCCAAGUCUUCAGUUACUGCACCCUGAUUCAUCUCUAACAGUAGUCAGGACUUCAAAUUCAGGGUGUUCGAGGAUGAUGCUGCUGAUGUUUCUGGGCAUCUGAUUGCCUAUUAGCUGUUACCUAAGCUUUUAACACCCUAUGUAUAUAUUCCUAUUUCUGAAACUUUUCAAGUUGUCGUAUGCUGUGCAUGUACCCCUUAGAACUUGGUUGCCCAUCAGUUCGUGUCUUUGUUGUCUUGUAAGUAUACCAUUUAUCGAAACACCGGUGUGGUGUGUUUAUGUCUAUGAGUAUCUGUUUGUUGAAGAACUUUAAUGUCAAACCAGUGAAUUGUUGUGUUUAACAUGUCUAUGGAGUGAUAUUAAUAGUUCUGUAGAGAUAACCAAAAGCUUGGUCCAGCACUUCACUGAUUAGUCAAAACUAACAUACUUUUGAUAUGAGCAUGCAUAUUACGGUGUCCCUAAACACUACAAUAUCUUUAGACGAACUGCAUCCAGGUUGAAAAGGGGCAGCUGUGUAUACUUGCUAUGAGCUGGACGAGGCUUUAAACUGAAUGGAACCUAUCCAUCAUAGGUUGUUCAUCAGUGCCAGUAAAAGCCGAAAAGAAAGAACAUGGAUUAGGAACUCGUAGUAACUUGGGAGGUUAAGAGUGAGAUUAAGAAAGACUAAUGAAUAUCAAGAAAGGUUUCUUAUCUUAAAUACAUCUUCCACAGUUUACAAGUCUCCAUUGAGGAAGCUAAUUGCAUUUUUCCUUCCGUAGCAGCAAUCAGCAAGAGGGGUGGGUAUUCAAGACUCUCCAGCGAGCCAUGUCAUGCUGCUCCAACCAAAUCCAAGCAGCUGCUGCAACUAGGAGAUCAACAAAAGGGAGAGAGGUCGCAAAUAGCUCAGGCCAACAAUUUCAAUUUUGAGCAAUUUUCUUCUCAACUACUCUUUAAGGAGCUCGCGACCAAUUAUCAUUCUUCUAAUCUCACUGGUGCCUGCCCCAAUCUCGUAUAGUUUGGCAUCCCGAAGAAGGCGUCCAGUCAUAUACUCAUUGAUGUAUCCAUUGCCACCAAGACACUGGAUAGCCUGUACCAUGAAUGCAAAAUCAAUCAUCAGAGUUCGUCUCUAACUUGCAUCUGUUUCCACUCGUUCAAAAUAUAGAAGGGUUAUAUCUUCCCUUUCGGGCUAGGGACGGGUUAUGGGACUUCACGUAACAAGUUUAUUCAUUCUCAGAAAUCUGAUACUUAAAACAUCCACAAAUAGGACGUCUAGAAAGUUAAAAGGGCUUAAAGAGAUCAAAUUCAAUCAAAAAAUGGUUGAAAAAAUGACGUCACAGUUUAAUAGGACUAAAUGGCUUCAAUUUGCUAGAAACAAUAUCAGCAACUCUAGAUCAAGAGAACUUGCUCUUAGAGAUACUUUUUACCUGAAGAGCUACUUGAGUGGCUCUUUCAGCUGCACAGAGUAUAACCCCAGCACAAUCCUGACAACAAAAUGUAUGCACACACCAGAGACAGAGAGCCAGAAUGUCAGAAUUACAAGGUCAUACGUACACACCCCAGAGCCAAGUCAAGAAUGGGACUUAAAUUUUGCAUUACCUUGGGAUCAAUCUUUCCGUUGUCACAGUCUACCGCAACAGAAUACACGUACGAUCUGCAACAUAAGUUCCAGAAGUCACGAAUAGAAAGGACAUUGAACAAUGCAGUAAUUAGUUAAUAUCUUACCUUGAAGACUGCAAGGAUGUAUACAUGUCAGCAAGUUUCCCCUGCCAAAUGUGAGAUUGCACUAUUAGCAAUUUUUUUUCCCCUUUACUUACUGGGAAAAAGGUUAUCUAACAGGUUGCACAGUAUUCCAGUUUGCAUGGAAGCCUCCAGAUAUAAUCAUGAUUAAGAAUCAGUUCAGAACCUGUAUAAAUUGAAAUUGGCCAAUUGGUCGGCCAAAUUGUUCUCUCUGUUGGACAUAUGGAAGUACAACAUCAAGACAAGCCUGCAUAAGACCAAGAGGUCCACCUGCCAAAACCAGCCUCUCCAAAUCUAGCCCAGACAACAUAACAUAUACUCCUGCAGCAGAAGGAAUGGCAUUUACUGAUCACUUCCUGCCUUCCAUAAAUUAGACAACAGACUUCAGGAUAAUCCUCAAAUAAAUCGCUUCCAAUGAGCUGCUAAACUUUUAUUCAGAGCCUUUUCCUUUUUACUGUUUUAAAUAUCAGAAACAGCUCGAACUGGGGUACGACGAAAACCUUGAUCUAUUUUGAUUCCAGGCAGCACUAAAUACUGAUGGUAUCGUAACCCAAUAAUAGGAGACACUGUAAUAAUUCCCUAAGUAAAUGAAGGUCAGAAAACUACAAAAAUCACGGGUCUCUUUUCUGCGUCUUGGGUUAGUAACUGGGCAAGUGACAAUGUGGACAAUUUUGACCUUUAACAUGUGCAUCAUGUCAGAGUGCUUCAGCAUGUAUGUCGUAUGAGUAAAAAUUGGAUUUUGGUGAAUGCUGCCACAUCUUAGUUAAAAAAGUUUUUAGUUGGGUAAUUUACCCGAGAACCGUGCUUUUUCCAAUAUUUAUAGUUUCUUACAAUUCUUCUAUUCAUCUUUUAUUCUAUUGACCACAUUUUGUUUCAGUUUCUUACAAUUCUUAUAUUCAUCUUUUAUUCUAUUGACCACAUUUUGUUUCAGUUUAUAUGAUUCAAAAGCUCUAAACCCAAGCAGGUGAUAACUCCACGGCCUCUAAUUUACAGUUGAAAUUUGGAAGCAGUAACAUGUUGAGAUCACAAUUGGAAGACGCCCAUCAUAAACGAACAGUUUAGCAGGCAGUGUUUAUACCUUUUCCUUCUUGCCCUAGAACAUUUUCUUCUGGAACAAAGCAAUUUUCAAAAACGAGCUCACAUCUGCAAUUUUGUUGAAUCUAAUCAUUAGGCCAUCUAUUGAUCAGAGAAGAAAUGAAAAUUCACAGGAGGAAAAUUAUCUUGGCUUAAACAAACGUACGUAUCACUCCCUCGCAUUCCAAGUUUAUCUAAUUUUUGGGCUGUGCUGAACCUGCAUUAAGGAAGCAUAAAUCAUAAACAUAUGCUCUGAUAGCAGUAAAUUCUUUAAAACUAGGAUUCUAAUAAAGACAUCUUAUGCUAAGGACUAUAGAGUUCAACAGCCCAUGUCAAACUCUAAAUCCUUUACUGAAUCACUAAAAAUAUUAAAAAUAGUUACAAAACUAUCCAUUUGCACGUCUGAUAAACCAAAUCAUCUUCAUUUCAUGUUAUUUGGUAUUAUAAAAUGUUCAUCUGCAUUCUACUCCUUUCAUAACAUAAAGUAGAACAAAAGGAUUUACACAUCUAAGUCAUCAUCCAAAAAAGGAAAUCUAAAAUGUCCUAUACGUUCUUUUUUUCAUAAUCACAAAAAUGGCAUGUUAUGAAUGGUAGCAGAGUAUCAUUUUCCUACUAGUGCUCUAUCAUCUCAGUUAAAAGCUGAGACUAGGGAAUACAACAGUGGCUAUAUACAAAAAUCAGCUCAGGAAUCUAAAUGAAAGAUAGUGUUGAUGAGCCAUACUUGUCACUUCAGAUGACUAAGGAAAUUUUCUAAAGCCAUACUACAACAUGUAUGUUGAUUCAGAAGAGACAAAUUGCUACCUAAUAACUUGCAAACUUAAUAGUAGAACACAUGUUAUCUUAAUUUGUAGUACCAUGCAUUAUUUUUUUUAACUGAAACCAGGGAAUAAAACAGUGGCUAUAUACAAAAAUCAGCUCAUCAAUCUAAAUGAAAGAUAGUGUCAGUGAGCCAUACUUGUCACUUCAGAUGACUAAAGAAAUUUUCCUAAAGCCAUGGUACUAGAUGUAUGUUGAUUCAGAAGAGACAAAUUGCUACCUAAUAACUUGCAAACUUCAUAGAAGAACAUGUCAUGUUAUCUUAAUCUGUCGUGCAUGUAUUGGGUGCAAAUUAGCAUUUCUUUCCUCUUAUAGAAUACCAUUAACAAUAGAUGCUUACCCGGGCAUUUCCUUCUCGAUGAUAAAUGCCGUGAUUCCUUUUGAAUUAGCAGCAAUAUCUGUUUUUGCAUAGACAACCUAAUCCAGUCCAAUUAUCAGUCCAUCAGAAAAAAAGGAAAGAUACUUUCUUAAAAACAAAAGCAGAAGACAUUAGAAGGAGGGGUAAACGAAAAGAAUAGGACAUGGUCAUUUUUCAGAACAAGCCAAGUGUACUUUAGUACCAAUCUAGGACAUAGGUGAAGUUAAAGCCAACAAAUUCAAAAUACUGAUAGGUGGAUCUUUCAGCAACUAUUUGUUAAGAUGUCUUAAGAAUCACGCCAAAUUAAAAUUUGAAAAGAAAGGUUGAAAAAAGUUUCUUCUUUUCAUUGGUACUUGGUUUUUUCGCUCCUGCUAAUAAUGCAAUUAUUGAUUUUAUAUACUCAUUUACUCAUUGAAGCCGAAAAAGGUAAAAGUGGAAGGAAAACAUCUCAUCCCUAGUCUUGCAGAUCAAAAAACAGUGAGAGACCUAAUGCCAAACAUAUUGAGAAGUGGUUUUCUAAACUAAGAGGCAAAAGCUGAGGACCUUUUUCACUCAUACAUCACAGGCAGUGGGUAACCUAAUAACAGAACAUAGCUACUUGAAGUAUGACCAUGCAUUUGUUGUUUGCAAAAAGUGAAUAUUGUUAGAUAUCGCACAAGGUUAGAGAAAGAUCAUGGAGGAUAUUCUUUUUAUGCUAGAUGGCAAUAAAGACACAGUGAUUAAUAGGCAGGUUGAAUAGGAGAACACAAAAGCACGCGCACUUGAAUGGAAGAUAUGUGCAAGUGCAUACCAUUGAGCAGAAAAUAGCACAUAAUAAAAAAUGACUACAUGCUACAAUUGAUGCCUUCAAGGUAUAAGCCAAAAUCAUCUAGCAAGAUCUGAUACAUGAUGUCUCUGAGCAGAAGCUUUAUGACACUAAAAAGAUAGAGUGCUGCAAGAAACUCCUAUUUCUCAGCAAACAACAAGUAUGCCUCUGAUAUUAUGCCAACUUGGGAAUACACCAUCCAUAUAGUAUGCACAAAAAUUGCAAUCUUUCCCAUUCAUGACGAGAAUAAUAGUCGAGAAUACCAGCGUCUGAGCCACAGGGCCAUUGGUGCACCACAUCUUAUUCCCAUUUAGAAUGUAACCUCCAUCAACUCGAUCAGCUCUACACUUCAUGCUAAUAACAUCCGAACCAGCUGAAUAAGGCAAGAGAAGGAAUUAUUCGCUGGACAUAGUGAUCUGUGAUCAUAGCUAACAGAAAUAAAAUGGUUUUACACAAGUUACCAUUUGGCUCACUCAUUGCAAGAGCUCCCACAUGCUCCCCACUGAUUAGCUUCAAAAAGUCAAGCCGCAGUUAAAUUUAGAAAGUAAUUUCUCCAGUCAGUACCAAUAAUACAAAGCUGUAAACUUGGAACUGAUAUAUGAAAGAAAUGAAAAAGAGGACACAUAAAAGAAAACCAAAUGACACACUAUCAUGGAAACAAAAGCAAAUUUACUCCAUCCUUUAUCCAAGACAAUAAUUGGUAUACACAAAUAUCAAGCUGAAUCGUCAUUGUAAAGCUUAAAUCCAUCUAUUAUCAAGUAAUCAAAAUGGAAGGUGCAGUUCAAGUGACAAGAAAACAAUUACGUGUAUACAAGAACAAUUAACAAUAAAAGCUAAAUUACUCUCACUAAUCUCUUUCUGAAAUAGUUACAUCCUUUAUUUUAUGAAAAGAAUAGGAAUAGUAUUUUUUUUUCUUGUUUGGUCAAAAAACAAAAAAAAAGAAGAAGAAUAAGGAUAUCAGAGGAUAUUUCAAACGCAACCAAGACUCGGGGUGCGUUUGAUAAACUGAAGUCUGAAAUUUGAAAUCUGAAGUCUGAAUCCAUUAAGUUAUUGAAUUGUUGAAUAUUAAAUCUAAUACAUUUGAGUGCAUAUCACAUUCAGUAAUAAGUGAAUAGCUUAUCACUUAAUUUUGGAAGCAAGUUUUGCCUAGGAAAUUCAGCGCCACUUAAUUAAUUCAGAGGUUCAAUUUUUGUUAUCAAACGGUCUGAAUGUGUUAAAAUCUGAAUCUAUUAAGUUUAAGUGCUGAAUUGAGUUAUCAAACAGGGCCUCAAUGUAGCAACAUUCCACAUGAGCUCACUGAACACAGAAAUUGACUACAAUAAGUAGCAGUGUAAAAACUCUUUGUGUUACCCAACCAUGCACGAUCUACAAUUAAUGAUAACAAGACCUUGCUAGAUCAUCAAUAGACAGAUACCAUCAAUUUACCAAAACUCAUUAAUAUGGAGUUAAUAGCCAUUAAUACAUUUAAGUGACUUCUUUUACUAUAAUUACUGGAAACAAUAAAUAUAUUAAAUAUGUCAUCGUCUUAGACUAAGGUUUACUUUACCAUGGCAUUUAGUUCUAGCCAACCAAUAGUCACCAGUAGAUAAGGUCUGUUUCUGCUAACAUUUUGCUAUGGUGAUGCAAUGCACAUGUAUGGUUACAGAAUUUGGUGACACUCCAAAACAGGCUGUGGAGGUUAUGCAGGAACUUAUGGUCUCAAAUGCAAGUCCUAAGAACAAUUAACAAUAAAAGCUAAAUUACCCUCACUAAUCUCUUUCUGAAAUUGUUACACCCUUUAUUUUAUGAAAAGAAAAGGAAUAGUAUUUUUUUUCUUGUUUGGUCAAAAAACAAAAAAAAAGGAGAAUAAGGAUAUUAGAAGAGGAUACUUCAUAUGCGACUGAGACUCUGUGUACCUACAUUCAAUAUGAGCUUACUGAACACAGAAAUUGACUACAAUAAGUAGCCGUGUAAAAACUCCUUGUGUUACGCAACCAUGCACGAUCUACAAUUAAUGAUAACAAGACCUGUGGCUUUAGCCUAAACUAGCUAGAUCAUCAAUAGACAGAUACCAUCAAUGUACCAAAACUCAUUAAUAUGGAGUUAAUAGCCAUUAAUUCAUUUAAGUGAAUUCUUUUACCAUAAUUACUGGAAACAGUAAAUACACUAAAUAUUUCAUCCUCCUAGACUAAGGUUUACUUUACCAUGGCAUUUAGUUCUAGCCAACCAAUAGUCACCAGUAGAUAAGGUCUGUUUCUACUAACAUUUUGCUAGGGUGGUGCAAUGUACAUGCAUGGUAAUAGAAUUUGGUAACACUCCAAAACAGGCUGUGGAGGUUAUGCAGGAACUUAUAGUCCCAAAUGCAAGUCCUAAGUACUACUUGUCAACUUGAUAGUGGAAAUACAAAUUUCAAAAAAAAAAAGGAAAGAAAGAUUAAUUAGUUUGACCUCCAAAGGUAAUCAAAAACACAUAUGCUUGACUACAAUGAUUACAAGAAACUUCAUAGGGACAAAAAAGAGGCCCCAUGAACUGAAGAAAUAUUAACCUUUGGCAGGUACUUUUGCUUCUGAGUAGGGGUCCCAUUCCUCACCUACAAGCAGUGACCAGCUUCGGUAAGUCAUGAUCACUAAUGAAACAUGAGUUGCUUAUGAUUGAUUCGAAAGUAAAAAUUUUUACCAACUGAUUAAUACAAAGGUUGGAGUGGGCGCCAUACGAAAGCCCAACAGAACCAGAUGCCCGACUAAUUUCCUCCAUAGCUAUGCAGUGUUCCAGAUAGCCAAGGCCAAGUCCUCCAUAUUCCUCUACACAAGAGCAGAAACUGUUAAAUCAUAAAAUAAAUCCAAUUUGCAGUACAACACAGAUUGAUAUCCAAAAACAACGUAGACACAAAGCUACAUCCGUCAACAUCUGAAUAUCCAAAUUCCUCCUCGAUGCUGGCAAUGACAUCAUAUCACAGAUGAAACUUUUAAGAAAUGCCAAGUACUUGCUUAGCAGUAAUGUGUGCAUGCGUGCAUGAGUGAGAAAGAGAGAGAGAGAGAGCCAACACAAUGUUGCCUGCACCAUGAAGUAAAACUAUUUCAAACCAGUGAGUGGACAUGUUGAAGACAUUCCUAUGAUACUGCAUAGGCCACUUAAAAUCUUGAGGCAACCAAUGCUAUACGCCAUUGGACAAAAGAGAUCUUCAUACUUCCUUCUACAUAACUAAUCCCUACACAUUCAUAUCUUAUUGGUUUACAGCAUGCAAAAUGAAACGAAUUUAGUUCUUUGUUACCUAAUACAGGUGACCCUAGCAUAUUUAUAUCUUCUUCCACCUCUCCCCAAAGAAGAGAACAUUCAAUACCUUACAAUCCAAGAAGAGCAAUCGACAAAUGUUUACUUUUUAAUUUUGCUUUUGAGAAUCCUAGGAGGAAAUUAAAGGAGAACAGGAAUAAUUGUUGAGGUUGGAGGAAUGGCAGCGGUAUUCCAGUGUGUCAUUUGCACAUUGGUGUUGUUACAUUUCUUGUCAGCCAAACACAGAAAAUUAGGAAGCAAAGCUGAAUUAGAGUGUCAAGAGAAAGGUUUACGGUGUACCUGGAACUGUUAUUCCAUGGAGACCAAAAUCUCCCAUUAGUUUCCAUAAGUUAACCUCCUGUAACAAGAGUUCAGAGUCAAAUUUCCAUCACUCAGCCAAUCACCUAUAAAGAUCAAGGGAAACCAUCUCACACGACCUCUGGAAAAUAAUUUGUUGUGUCUAUUUUUGAUGCAUAAGGAGCAAUAUUUUCUUGAGCAAAACGUGCCACACCUUCUUUAAACUGCCAAAAAAAAAUCGAACUAAAUAGUCAGACAGAACUGUUGUAACGGAAAUAGAGGAAGAAACCUCAGGUCUUAACAUACAAAAGUGGAAGAAAGACACAAUCAACUCUAGUAUGUUCUGCUUGCGCCAUUGAGUUUGCCAAGACAAGUUGAACUCAUUAAUUCUAUCUACAGAUAAGCCUCUACAAAUUUUUCUGGCACCAAAGAAAAUAGAAGCUAUGCAUGAACUACAAUCAGAACGAGUACAAAUAAUUACUGGUACAGUAACUUGCAGAACUAUGAACACGUGAAGUGCUUACAAACUUCUGAACUUCAGAAAAAAAGGUUAGUGGAGUAGCAACUAUAACAAGAUAAGGAAACCAAUCAAUUUGACCGUAAUGAGAAAAAUUCUAUCUACAGGAAAAAAGGAAAAAGCAAAACAAGAAAAUGUAAUAAAUAAAAUACAAUAACAGAAAAAGUUAUCCACAAAAGAGUUAUUACAUGACAUUACAUGAAGCACCAAAAGGUUCCCUGCUAAAAUCAACAACCACAUUAAAAGACUGUAUCAUAUACUAUACCAAAACACAAUUGGUAAUUGCCAAACAACUUAAUAACAAGAAAGGAACAGAGAAUACCAAAAUGAGCAAAAGAAAAAGGAGAAGAAGAACAGAAAUACACAACAUGGAAAUGAUUGUAUUUGGUCCGAAAAAGAUUGGUUUUUAUGUUCAAAUUCUAAAAAUUCUGACUCUCUAAAGUAGCCUGACAGAAUUCAAUAAAUUUGAUGUUCUUUAAGAUUUUAAUCCCAGCAAUCAGUCCGAAAGGGAUGGUAGGUUUUUUUUUAUAUGGCCCAAAACUUGUAGGCCCUCCAAUAUUAUGUAAGCCUGCAUUUGAUCCCUUCUGCAAAAUCGAAUCUUUACUGCCCAUACACUUCAAAUCAGACCCAAUAUCGUAUAGAGGGAGUGUUCGGACAAAAACCUGCUUGCGUGAAUCAUCAAAGAAUGAGGAAGUGGAGAAAGCAGCAGCGCUCUGCCUCUGCUUUCUCAGAAAACCUGAGGCCAAGGACCUCACUGCCCACAUUUUCUCAAUCAGAGCAAACCACUAAUAACCCAAAAAAGGAAAAAAAAAAAAGUUUAAGGCUUUUCUGCUGAUUCUAAAAUCUUGGGUAUGGAAGUGAAGUUGGGACUAGAUAUAUUUAGAUGAGAAGAGGAAGAAGUGGCUUUUGAUUCUUUAUGAGAAACGUUUAGCGGCAGAGUGCAGAGAUGAUGGCACAGUAACGAUGGGGAAUGGAUACACCGUACAAUCGCAUU